CUUGUUCAAGUAACACGUGCAGACCGUUUAAACACAUCUUCUGCAGAUGACAGCUCAGUGACAAUAUUGUAAUAUUAAACAACACAUAUUUCAGCUCUUCGACAAAUAAAACCGACGCGUAAUGCGAUAAAGUGCAGGAAACGAGUGUCACUCGACUCACCUAAUAAGAGAUGCAUUUGGACUAUACAGAGGGACAUGUGGACAGACAUUCACUGUAAUGAUGGACAUCAGCUCAUGGACAGAGAGAUGAAAUUGGACAUGCCAUGCUCGUCUGGAAGAGAUGAAGAUAUGUAGGAUCCAGUGACAAAUCCUGAAAAAUUGGAGCCAAAUUGGAGAAAGAAGAAGUUUGACAGGUGUUCCCAACAUUACCUGAGGGAAAAGAGGUCUCUCCUCUCGCUUUUUCUUCAGACAAUCUGCCAUAAGUCUCUUCAUGGCCUUGGGGCAAUUACUGCGCAC